rnacentral:lncRNA from 1 species
AAACAACUCCAAACGAAAAACAUCCCGUGACACUGCCUCCAACUUCUCUUGCAUCCGAUGUUUCUCCUCAGGAGUCUUCUAGAAUAACAAAAUCAUCGUCGGUUCUGCCAUCUGCUACAUUAUCAGCUGGUCCUACCAAACCUUCCCAAGCUGAGACAUCUGGUUCUUUUUGUCCUGCUUCACCUCCAAUAGGAGCUCCCAAUGAUGUGGCUUCACCUCUUGGACAACCGGCUAGAUUACCUCCUCCAGUGUCUAAGUCAGACAAAACACAU